rnacentral:rRNA from 1 species
UACAGAGGUGGCAAGCGUUGUUCGGAAUUACUGGGCGUAAAGGGCGCGUAGGCGGCCUUCUAAGUCAGACGUGAAAUCCCCCGGCUUAACCUGGGAACUGCGUCUGAUACUGGAAGGCUUGAGUGCGGGAGAGGGAUGUGGAAUUCCAGGUGUAGCGGUGAAAUGCGUAGAUAUCAGGAGGAACACCAGCGGCGAAGGCGGCGCUCUGGGCUGGAACUGACGCUGAGGAGCGAAAGCGUGGGGAGCGAACAGG